GACUCAGUCAUAAUUAAUAGUCUAUCACAUAAUAGUACUGCUAGUUGGUCCAGACGAUGAUCUUGAAGUGUUCGACGUCUUUUUUCA
rnacentral:ribozyme from 1 species